GAUGAAGAACGAAGCGAAAUGCGAUAAGUAAUGUGAAUUGCAGAAUUCAGUGAAUCAUCGAAUCUUUGAACGCACCUUGCGCCCUUUGGACAUUCCGAAGGGCAUGCCUGUUUGAGUAUCAUGAACACCUCAACUCUCAUGGGUUGUCUGUGAUGAGCUUGGACUUUGGGGGUCUUGCUGGCCUGUGGUCGGCUCCUCUCAAAUGGAUCAGCUUGCCAGUGUUUGGUGGCAUCACAGGUGUGAUAACUAUCUGCGCUUGUGGUUUUCCAUCAGAUAACCUUCAGUGAUAUGGAGGUUCGCUGGAGCUCACAAAUGUCUCUCCUUAGUGAGGACAGCCCUUUGAACGUUUGAUCUCAAAUCAGGUAGGACUACCCGCUGAACUUAAGCAUAUCAAUAAGCGGAGGA
rnacentral:misc_RNA from 1 species